rnacentral:rRNA from 1 species
AGAGUUCGAUUCUGGCUCAGGACGAACGCUGGCGGCGCGCCUAACACAUGCAAGUCGAACGGAGAAAGAUGAGCUUGCUCAUUUUUCUUAGUGGCGGACGGGUGAGUAACACGUGAGCAACCUGCCUUUCAGAGGGGGAUAACGUUUGGAAACGAACGCUAAUACCGCAUGAAAUAUUCUUGUGGCAUCACAGGGAUAUCAAAGGAGCAAUCCGCUGAGAGAUGGGCUCGCGGCCGAUUAGAUGGUUGGCGGGGUAACGGCCCACCAAGUCGACGAUCGGUAGCCGGACUGAGAGGUUGAACGGCCACAUUGGGACUGAGACACGGCCCAG